UCAGUAACACGUAGUCAACAUGCCCAGAGGACGUGGAUAACCUCGGGAAACUGAGGAUAAACCGCGAUAGGUCAUAUUUACUGGAAUGUUUUAUGGCUCAAAUCUACAUGGCUUCUGGAUUGGACUGCGGCCGAUCAGGCUGUUGGUGAGGUAAUGGCCCACCAAACCUGUUACCGGUACGGGCUCUGAGAGGAGGAGCCCGGAGAUGGGCACUGAGACAAGGGCCCAGGUCCUAUGGGGCGCAGCAGGCGCGAAACCUCUGCAAUGGGCGAAAGCCUGACAGGGUUACUCUGAGUGAUUCCCGUUAAGGGAAUCUUUUGGCAUCUCUAAAAACGAUGCAGAAUAAGGGGUGGGCAAGUCUGGUGCCAGCAGCCG
rnacentral:rRNA from 1 species